UAUGAGGAGGUUUUAGGACAGAGACGAUAAGUUAAAUGUAUGAGGAGGUUUUCGGACAGAGACGAUAAGUUAAAUGUAUGAGGAGGUUUUCGGACAGAGACGAUAAGUUAAAUGUAUGAGGAGGUUUUCGGACAGAGACGAUAAGUUAAAUGUAUGAGGAGGUUUUCGGACAGAGACGAUAAGUUAAAUGUAUGAGGAGGUUUUCGGACAGAGACGAUAAGUUAAAUGUAUGAGGAGGUUUUCGGACAGAGACGAUAAGUUAAAUGUAUGAGGAGGUUUUCGGACAGAGACGAUAAGUUAAAUGUAUGAGGAGGUUUUUGGACAGAGACGAUAAGUUACAUGUAUGAGGAGGUUUUCGGACAGAGACGAUAAGUUACAUGUAUGGCUAAUUAAUUUACUAGGACUGAUAAUGUUGUCAGCUGCAUAACAGAUGAAGGCAUCAUAUUGAUAAGCAGG